rnacentral:tRNA from 1 species
AAAAAGAUAAGCUAAAAAAGCUAAUAGGUUCAUACCCUGUACAUAAUGGUUAUAACCCAUUUCUUUUUA